rnacentral:rRNA from 1 species
GACGGGGGAUGCAAGUGUUAUCCGGAAUCACUGGGCGUAAAGCGUCUGCAGGUGGUUUCCUAAGUCCACUGUUAAACCUUGAGGCUCAACCUCAAAUCUGCAUUGGAAACUAGGAGACUUGAGUAUAGUAGGGGUAGAGGGAAUUUCCAAUGGAGCGGUGAAAUGCGUAGAUAUUGGAAAGAACACCGAUGGCGAAGGCACUCUACUGGGCUAUUACUGACACUCAGAGACGAAAGCUAGGGGAGCAAAUGGG